rnacentral:misc_RNA from 1 species
GGAGAAGCCUGAAAUGGAAGUCACGCAGAUACAAUUCAAUUUUUGGAUUUUCUUUUCAAAUGCACUUUGUGCACUUGCUUUGAAUUUCUCAAUUUUCUUAGUGAUUGGUAGAACUGGUGCUGUAACCAUUCGAGUGGCUGGUGUCUUGAAAGAUUGGAUAUUAAUUGCCCUUUCAACCUUAAUUUUUCCAGAGUCAACGAUUACCACUCUUAACAUUACAGGCUAUGCCAUAGCAUUAUGUGGUGUCGUGAUGUAUAACUACUUGAAGGUCAAGGACGUACGAGCAUCCCAGCUUCCUGUAGAUACUAUGUUAGAUCGAACAGCUAAGGAGCUUAAGAUGGAAAAGAAGUCAUCUCAUCUGUACUUGCCAGAUGACAAUGCUGAUCUUGGGGGAAACAGUACAAAGAAUGACUCUUCAGAUCCAAUGGUGGAUGAGGAAGCACCUUUAAUAACAUCAACUAGGAUCUCUCAUCUUGGGCGAAGCAACCUCUCGUCGUGAGCAUUAUAAGUUUCUUCAAAUCUCAUUUUUUGGUGCAGUUUCAGUUGUCAGAUUAUAGAUCAAACAGAUUGAAGAGAGCAAGUCUUGUAUACACCAUCCCACCAUUUUGCCAGGAGUUGUAUUUCUUUGCAAAGUGUUAGUGCUAUUAAUAGUUGUAAGGUCAUAUGUUGUAAUAUUUUAGGGCUAUUGACGUUCA